rnacentral:snRNA from 1 species
UAAAGUAAACAGCAGGGGAGAAAACAUGAUCACAAAGGUGAUUUUCCCAACGUCAGUCUUAUCCAUUACACUACAGAUGUACUGACCCUUGAGAUUUCCCCAAAUGUGGGAAAUUUGACUGCAUAAUUUCAGGUAGUGGGGAACUGUCUUCAUGCUCUCCCUAU